rnacentral:rRNA from 1 species
UACGGGGGGGCAAGCGUUGUUCGGAAUUACUGGGCGUAAAGGGCGCGUAGGCGGUUCGCUAAGUUGGAUGUGAAAACUCUGGGCUCAACCCAGAGCCUGCAUCCAAAACUGGCGGGCUAGAGUUCUGGAGGGGGUAGCGGAAUUCCCGGUGUAGUGGUGAAAUGCGUAGAUAUCGGGAGGAACACCAGUGGCGAAGGCGGCUUCCUGGCCUGUUCUUUGACGCUGAGGCGCGAAAGCUAGGGGAGCAAACGGG